CUUUCCAGCCCAUGCUGAUUGGCUGUGAAUGGGUGAUAGACAUCCCCCACCAUCCAAACCCCCCCUCCGUAUACUCUAUAGCCCCGCCUAUUCGUGUUGUCGAGGAGCGCUCUUUUUUUGCGCUCUUCACUCGCUGCUCGCGCGACUUCAGCGCCGCUCGGGCAACAAAAAAAUAACACGAAAAACCAAAACGGCGCAAAAUGGCAACGAACGCUUUCCCUGCGCUUUGGGUUCUCUUAUUCUGGAUAUUGCGCACAUGCUCAGCCGCGCGGGUUUAUCCUCCAAAUGAAGUGACGUUACUGGACUCGAGAACAGUGCAGGGUGAGCUGAAAUGGGUUUCCAGUCCUACAGAAGGAGGGUGGGAAGAAGUAAGCAUCAUGGACGAAAAAAACACACCCAUCCGGACAUAUCAAGUGUGCAACGUGAUGGAGCCGUCCCAGAACAACUGGCUUCGAACAGACUGGAUUGCACGCGGAGCGGCUCAACGCAUUUACGUCGAGAUCAAGUUCACUCUGCGUGACUGCAACAGCUUGCCCGGCGUCAUGGGCACGUGCAAGGAGACGUUCAACCUCUACUACUACGAAUCCAACAAUGACAAAGAGCGAUAUAUCCGCGAGAACCAGUUCAUCAAGAUCGACACGAUUGCCGCCGACGAGAGCUUCACGCAGGUGGACAUCGGAGACCGCAUCAUGAAGCUCAAUACCGAGGUGCGAGAUGUGGGCGUCUUGACUCGCAAAGGCUUCUACUUGGCUUUCCAGGAUGUGGGGGCGUGCAUCGCCCUGGUGUCUGUGCGGAUUUUUUACAAGAAGUGCCCGCUCACAGUACGCAACCUUGCUCAGUUUCCUGAUACAACUACGGGUGCAGAUACAUCGUCGCUGGUGGAGGUCCGUGGCUCGUGCGUGGACAACUCGGAGGAACGCGAAGUACCCAAGAUGUAUUGCGGUGCAGAUGGAGAAUGGCUGGUACCAAUUGGAAGUUGUUUGUGUAACCCGGGAUUUGAGGAGCGAGCCGGGGCAUGCCAAGCCUGCAAAAUCGGCUACUACAGAGCCUUGGCCAGUGACUCCAGUUGCUCCAAAUGUCCUUCUCACAGCUACUCGACACGUGAAGGCGCCACGUCGUGCACGUGCGAUAAAGGAUACUUCCGAUCCGAGACGGACCCCGCGUCCAUGCCUUGCACCCAGCCGCCGUCCGCCCCGCAGCAUCUCAUCUCCAAUGUCAACGAGACGUCGGUGAACCUGGAGUGGUCAGUGCCGGCGUUUUCGGGCGGGAGACAGGAUCUUACGUACAACGUGGUGUGCAAGCGGUGCAGCCCUGACGGGCAGCGGUGCGAGCCAUGCGGUGUCGGCGUCCAUUACGCCCCGCAGCAGUUCAGCCUGCGUGCCACGCGUGUCUCCAUCAAUGAGCUGCAGGCGCACACCAACUACACCUUCCAGGUGUGGGCGAUCAACGGCGUGUCGCCCCAGAGCCCUGGGACUGACCAGGCCGCCUCGGUCACCGUCACCACCAACCAAGCCGCGCCCUCUCCAGUUACAUCCAUCCAGGCCAAGGACAUCACCCGGCACGGUGUGUCGCUGGCAUGGCAGCAGCCCGAGAGGCCCAACGGGGUCAUCCUGGAGUAUGAGGUCAAGUACUACGAGAAGGAUCAGAACGAGCGUAGCUACCGCAUCACAAAGACGGCAUCCCGCAGCACUGACAUUAAAGGCCUAAGCCCGCUAACCUCGUACGUUUUCCACGUCCGAGCCCGCACGGCUGCCGGCUAUGGAGAAUUCAGCAUGCCUUUCGAAUUCAUGACCAACUCAGUUCCUUCUCCAAUUAUCGGCGACGGCGCAAACUCUACGGUCCUCCUGGUCUCCGUUAUCGGCAGCGUAGUCCUGCUGCUCAUCUUUAUCGCCGUCUUCGUCAUCGGACGCAGGAGGAGUAAAUACAGCAAAGCCAAGCAGGAUUCCGAUGAAGAGAAGCACCUACACCCAGGGGUGCGGAUCUAUGUGGACCCUUUCACGUAUGAGGACCCCAACCAGGCCGUGCGCGAAUUCGCCAAAGAAAUCGACGCCUCUUGCAUUAAGAUCGAAAAGGUCAUCGGCAUCGGCGAAUUCGGUGAGGUGUGUAGUGGCCGCUUGAAGAUGCCUGGAAAACGGGAGAUCUGUGUGGCCAUAAAAACGCUCAAAGCCGGCUACACGGAGAAGCAAAGGCGUGAUUUCCUGAGCGAGGCCAGCAUCAUGGGCCAGUUCGAUCACCCGAACAUCAUCCGCCUCGAGGGAGUCGUCACUAAAUGCAAACCUGUAAUGAUCAUCACAGAGUACAUGGAAAAUGGCUCCCUCGAUGCCUUCCUCAGGAAAAAUGAUGGCCGCUUCACGGUCAUCCAGCUAGUCGGAAUCCUGCGAGGAAUUGCUUCGGGAAUGAAGUAUCUCUCAGACAUGAGCUACGUCCACCGCGACUUAGCCGCCAGGAACAUUUUAGUCAACAGCAACCUUGUGUGUAAAGUGUCCGAUUUUGGCAUGUCUCGGGUCCUGGAGGAAGAUCCGGACGCCGCGUAUACGACACGAGAAAUAAUGGGAACCUAUCAAUCGCAGGGUGGAAAAAUCCCCAUUCGCUGGACAGCCCCCGAGGCCAUCGCGUACAGAAAGUUCACUUCAGCGAGCGACGUGUGGAGCUACGGGAUUGUCAUGUGGGAGGUCAUGUCGUACGGCGAGAGGCCAUAUUGGGACAUGAGCAACCAGGAUGUCAUAAAAGCCAUUGAAGAAGGAUACAGGCUUCCUCCGCCAAUGGAUUGUCCCAUUUCUUUACACCAGCUGAUGCUGGACUGCUGGCAAAAAGAGCGAGCCGAGAGACCCAAAUUUAGCCAGAUCGUAAACAUGUUGGACAAAUUAAUCCGCAAUCCCAAUACGCUAAAGAGGACUGGAGGGGAAAUAGCAAGACCUAACACCACCCUUUUAGAACCGAACAGUCCAGAAUUCUCCUCUCCCCUGGGCACCGUGUCUGACUGGUUAACGGCCAUCAACAUGGAGCGUUACCGUGACAACUUCACCGCCGCCGGCUAUACCACCCCAGAGGCGGUAGUGCACAUGACGCAAGAAGACAUGACAAGGAUAGGCAUCUCGACGACCGCACACCAGGACAAGAUCCUCAGCAGCGCGCAGGGAAUGCUGUCCCAGAUGCAGCAGAUACAAGACAGGAUGGUUCCCGUCUGAUCGGAAUAGAAAAAUAAACUUCUACUUUUCCUUUUCUUCCAUCCAUCCUUGUUUGUUUUUGUUUUUUUUCAUUUCGUUUUUUGUUUACAUCAUCCUCAUUUUACGCACUUUAAAAAAAACAAAUCCGAAGACACUCAGAAAAAGAAAAAACAAGGACGUACAGCUGGCGGCACUUUUCGUUGUUCUCCCCGGAUCACCUUUUCCGAUCAGAGGAAUUUCAUUGUUUCUUUUUUUUUUUUCGCUUCCAGUUCUCGGUCGUUGUUUUUUUUUUUUUUUUUUUUUGCGACAGGACGGAGCUUUGAGGGGCAUGCUCUUUUUUCCCCUUUGUACGUAUGUAAAAAUGUAAAUAAGUAGCUCUUUUUUCCACUUCACCAUCUCGUCGUUCAGACCUGACGAUUUGAAUAAACUUGUGGCUUUUGGGAUGGGAGGAAAAAAAAUCCUGAAGCUCUAUUUUUUUUUUUUUUUGCAAUUCUGGGAUUUCUGGCUCCACGUGAAGACUUCUCCACCUCUUCGGAAAUGGAAUAUUUGGCUGUCCACUUGGCUGGCAACUCGUGCAACAGAUUUGAGAACAUCGCGCUCGAGCUGAGAUCUCACUCACGUUCUUUUAGUUUCUCUCUCUGCAGGUUUUUUUUUUUUAUCUUUUUUUUUUUUUUUCCCCACUCUUUCUCUCUCUCGAACCCUGGCAGGCUGUGAAAUUCCUACUUACUGGAAAGCUAAAAGGAACUAAGGAUCACCUCGGCGUUUCCGUUUGGGACCUACUGCAGGAGCAUGAAUUUAUUCACAACCCCUCGACCUCGGCCAGAAUCCUGUCGAGGCAGAAAAUCUUCCAGAUACGAAUAAGGACAAGUUGAGGAGAGGAUAUGGAUCAUUUGCACAUUUCCCAAGAGAUAGACAGAGAGAGAGAGAGAGAGAGAGACUUGUUUUGUCUGCAAUUUGUCCUAGCGACUGAAUGUAUACCAGCAACAGAACACAUGCUAGCUGCUUAGCUGGAUGCACUCUACUUCAACUACAAGUGUGUCAGAGUGUUUUUUUUGUUGUUGUUCUUUGUUUGUUGCUUUGUUUUUGUCUUUUUUGUGUUUCAUCCCUUCUCAAGGAUACCACUUGCUCUGAGAAACACACACUUCAAGACUAAAAUGGAGAGUACGCUAAGUUGCCCGAAAAGAAAACCGAACCAUUUGCAAGCCGUUUUUUUUUUUUGUUACUUUGUUUGUUUGUUUGUUUAUUUACACAAUUAAACAGACAGAACCAACAGUUUUUUCAGUCUCUUUUCCCACAAGAUUCUUCUUUUGCUUCAUCUUCUGUUGUUGAACAUAUUCGUGAACCUGUGAGAAAAAAAAAAAGGGAAAACUCGGUCGUGUUUUUCAUUAAAAAGCCAACGAUCUUUUGUUUGUUUGUCUGAGAAACUUUAUUUGGUACUUUUUGGUGUUGUUUAUUCUGUUCUUCCUUUCUUGCGUUCUUUCUUUCUUUCAUUUUUUUCUUUCUGUCUGUGGUUGGUUUAAUUAAUUCUU